UACAGAGGUCUCAAGCGUUGUUCGGAUUCAUUGGGCGUAAAGGGUGCGUAGGUGGCGCGCUAAGUCAGGUGUGAAAUUUCGGAGCUUAACUCCGAAACUGCAUUUGAUACUGGUGUGCUUGAGGACUGGAGAGGAGACUGGAAUUCAUGGUGUAGCAGUGAAAUGCGUAGAGAUCAUGAGGAAGACCGGUGGCGAAGGCGGAUCUCUGGACGGCCCCUGACGCUGAGGCGCGAAGGCUAGGGGAGCAAACGGG
rnacentral:rRNA from 1 species